ACACUGUACGAGUUUGAUCCUGGCUCAGAGCGAACGCUGGCGGCAGGCCUAAUACAUGCAAGUCGAACGGUCUCUUCGGAGGCAGUGGCGGACGGGUGAGUAACGCGUGGGAACGUGCCCUUUGGUACGGAACAACUGAGGGAAACUUCAGCUAAUACCGUAUGUGCCCUUCGGGGGAAAGAUUCAUCGCCAUUGGAGCGGCCCGCGUUGGAUUAGCUAGUUGGUGGGGUAAUGGCCCACCAAGGCGACGAUCCAUAGCUGGUCUGAGAGGAUGAUCAGCCACACUGGGACUGAGACACGGCCCAGACUCCUACGGGAGGCAGCAGUAGGGAAUCUUGCGCAAUGGGCGAAAGCCUGACGCAGCCAUGCCGCGUGAAUGAUGAAGGUCUUAGGAUUGUAAAAUUCUUCACCGGGGACGAUAAUGACGGUACCCGGAGAAGAAGCCCCGGCUAACUUCGUG
rnacentral:rRNA from 1 species